GACGAACGCUGGCGGCGUGCCUAAUACAUGCAAGUAGAACGCUGAAGGAGGAGCUUGCUUCUCUGGAUGAGUUGCGAACGGGUGAGUAACGCGUAGGUAACCUGCCUGGUAGCGGGGGAUAACUAUUGGAAACGAUAGCUAAUACCGCAUAAGAGUAGAUGUUGCAUGACAUUUGCUUAAAAGGUGCAAUUGCAUCACUACCAGAUGGACCUGCGUUGUAUUAGCUAGUUGGUGAGGUAACGGCUCACCAAGGCGACGAUACAUAGCCGACCUGAGAGGGUGAUCGGCCACACUGGGACUGAGACACGGCCCAGACUCCUACGGGAGGCAGCAGUAGGGAAUCUUCGGCAAUGGACGGAAGUCUGACCGAGCAACGCCGCGUGAGUGGAGAAGGUUUUCGGAUCGUAAAGCUCUGUUGUAAGAGAAGAACGAGUGUGAGAGUGGAAAGUUCACACUGUGACGGUAUCUACCAGAAAGGAC
rnacentral:rRNA from 1 species